rnacentral:rRNA from 1 species
UACGUAGGGUGCAAGCGUUAAUCGGAAUUACUGGGCGUAAAGCGUGCGCAGGCGGUUUUGUAAGUCUGAUGUGAAAUCCCCGGGCUCAACCUGGGAACUGCAUUUGUGACUGCAUCGCUGGAGUGCGGCAGAGGGGGAUGGAAUUCCGCGUGUAGCAGUGAAAUGCGUAGAUAUGCGGAGGAACACCGAUGGCGAAGGCAAUCCCCUGGACCUGUACUGACGCUCAUGCACGAAAGCGUGGGGAGCAAACAGG